rnacentral:lncRNA from 1 species
AGGUCAUUUCCUAACCAUGGGUUGACCUUUGCUAAUUGGGUCAACCUUUGACUUGAGCACCUUGUGUCGGUCGGCAACACAUGACACGUGGUCGACCUCGUACCUUAAAGUAGGGUCUUAACGCAUGGAUUGACCGGGUCCAUGUACCGGUCGGUCAUCCCGGUACAGUUGUCUCCCAGGCUCGAGAGAUGGUACAGCCGAAGAGUCUGAAGAAUGGGCCUCGGGCGGAUUGUGUAAUGAUGGGUGAAGUGAUGUUUGGGGGCGCCUGAGCGAUUGACGUGACGCGCAUUAAUGAGGGGGUUUUCUGGGCGCCAAGUGAUGCGAACCGUUGGAUCAAGCGAAUCCAACGGUUGAGGUUCUUGCGACGUUUGGGAUUCCGAGGUCCUCCCGGGCUAUAAAUAGGGGCUGGGAACAGUGGUGUUUCACGCGUUAUCUUUGUUUGAGCUCCGACACCUCGAAUCAAUCCGACCAAUCUCAGUUGCCUUCUUCGUUCGUCCAAAGGUUAGUCAUGUCUGCUCCUUCUGAGUCUCCCCCCGCUUGUUCGUCGUCUUCUUCUUCUUCUUCUUCUUCUUCUUCCGGCCAAGCCGUCUCGGUCGGAGAUGUUGGGAGGGUCCCUUCUCCAGGGUUGGUAAGGGAAGACGCUGGCAAUGCGUCUGACCGUUCGGCCCCUUUUGAGGGGCCGCGACCCCAUGUGGGGUCGGCUUGGGUUGAUCCCCGAGUGUGUGAGGUGUCGUCCUCCUUUCAUACCGAUGCCUCCGUUGUCGAGUUUUUGGAUGAGGUUCCCGUUUUGAAGGCUUCGGCCGAGGAAUCUUUGUUGGCGUUUGGCCCUUGUUCUUUGGGGGACCGUGUGUACAGGGAGCGGUCAUCUACCGAGCCUCCCUUUUUCUUUAUGUAUAGUUGUCUUUUUGCGGACCUGCAUGUGUCCCUUCCAUUUGAUGCCUUCACGGCCGGGGUCCUGAAGGAGCUGAAUGAGGCUCCGACCCAGCUUCACCCCAACUCGUGGGCGUUUAUGCAAGCGUUUCGCAUUGUUUGCCGGACGUUUGGGUUGCGUCCUCUCCCUUCUUGUUUUCUCCAUUUUUAUUCCUCAUAUCCGGCCAAGCUUGCUAGUUGGCAAUCGCUGGUCAGCCGGGCGGAUAGUGUGUUGUUCAAACCCUUCACGACCUCUUACAAGAACUUUAAAGAGAAGUUCUUUAAAGUGUACGUGGAGCCGGCGGGGACACGCUACUUUUUUGACGAGGUCGGCCAAUCUCGUUUCCCGCUUUUUUGGUCGAGGAGUCCGACGAAGAUAACGGAUUGGCCUUGGCCGGCACAUCCGAGCGAGCAUGAGUGGCUCAUUUUUGCUUUGUUUGAUAGCCUCCCCAGGAAGCUCCCCGCCCGACGGCUCAUGUCGCUGUACAAUGCGACCGAUCGCGCGGAGGCUUUCGAGGGUAUGCUUUUUUCACGCAUUGUUUAUUUUGUUUGUUGUACUUGUGCUGACCGGUCCCUUACUGUUUGAUUUGCAGAAAUCGCGAAGAGAAAAAUCCCUCAAGUUGUCGGGAUGCUACAUUCGUUCAAGAACAAAUUGAACGAGAAGAGGGGGGCCACCAGCGCCAAGCCCCGUGUGGAAGAGGGUGCCCGGGCGGGGCCCUCAAAGAAACGUGGCCGCGAAGGCGGCAAUAUUGCCCGUACCGUGCGGGCGGUGGGACAGAUGCCCACUCCUCCUCCAGCUCGGUCAGCUAGACCGACUUCCCCACCCACCGAUGAGUUCAACCGUCCUAUUCCAACGGAGGUGGCGGUGCCCUUGGCCUCCUCGGGCGGAUCAACGCGUUGGUGGGGGGUGACCGGUCCUUCUCACGGGCUGUGAGCUUCAAGUUGCCCCCCAACAUCGAGGGGGAGAUUAGGUCGGUCCCCGACAACGACCUUCUUGACGGCGGUAUCGAGAUGAUAUGCCGAGGUCUAGUCUUGGCCCGCCGAGGGGUCGACGCUCGGAGGAGCCGAGUCGAGGACAUAUCGCGCCUCGAGCACGAUCUUCAAGAGGUCGGGCACAACCUGAAGCAGGCCGUGGAGGCCAACACAAUUUACGAAAAGAAGUUGUGUGCGCAAGCGGCCGAGCUGGAGCUGCGCCAUAACAGGUUGGCCGAGCUGGAGAAGGCCGAUGCCGACAAAGUCGCGGAGGUUAUUCUCCUUCGGGCCACCCUGAUGGGGGAGGAAGCUGCGGCCGAGCGUGAGGCAAAGAGGGCGGCCGAGGCUGAAGUUUUGAAGACCAUGGAGGACACCAUGGUACUUAUUGGUCAAAGCUUCGACCUUGCCGUCCGUCAGGCCGAAGUGCUCUACGGCGGUCCACCUCCUUCUGGUCAAUUUGACCAAGACAUGGAGGUUGUGGAUGGCAGUUUGGUUCCUGCGACGGCCGGCCCUCCUGCUGACGAAGCUGAAGCUGAUUCCUCUAAUGAGGUUUUGAAUAUUGUAGAUUAGGCGGUCAGCUUUUAAUUUUGAACCCUUGGGGUCGGGGUGUGGCCCCCACCUCUUUUUAUUUAAUAAAAUGGGUUUUCCUUCAAUUGUUUUUGUUAUUUUCGGACGAACGGGCCUUUACGAGCCGAGUGGGUUGGAAUAAUCAAUCUUAAACCGUGGGAAAAUUAACUGAGUAAAAAGAACUAAGUAAUCGGUCGGUAGAUGAAAUCAACUGAGUGGCUCGUGAUAAUUAAAAUCAACCAAGUGAUUGUAACGGACUUCGAUCAGUCGGUCGCUCUUUAGCGAAUUUGAUUUAGACGAAUUUUAUUGAUGUUUAUCUGAACCGGGGUUCUUGCCGAACGUUGUGUGUGCAUCGGGAGGGUAUGCCGGUUAUGGCUACGUCCUGGCCGAGAUGGGUACGGGUUUCGGGAGGGUAUGCCGGUUAAGGCUACAUCCUGGCCGAACAGUGUGUGUUGCGGUUGGGUAUGCCGGUUAAGGCUUCAUCCUGGCCGAACCGUGUGUGUUACGGGAGGGUAUGCCGGUUAAGGCUACAUCCUGGCCGAACCGUGUGUGCCAUUCGUUAUAUACACUAUGUACGAAAUGCCUCGUUAAAACCUCUCCGACCGAUGGAUCGGUCGGACGAGGAAAGAGUGCGUGUAUUUUAUUCAUGCUUAGCUGAAAUAAAACUUUAGGUGCGUGACAUUCCACGUCCUAGGUACAAUUUUUCCCGAUAGAUGUUCCAAGUGAUAAGCCCCCCCUUCUCCUACUUCUCGGAUUCGGAACAGUCCUUUCCAGUUUGAUAAGAACUUGCCGUCCGACUUCCUAGCGUUGCUGCGCAUUCUCCAGACGAGGUCGCCUUGUUAAAAGCUUCUGGGCUGGACCUUUGUACCUUCUUGACGCUCGGAGCUUGCAUGCCGCUUCUCGUAUCUUGCUUUUAUCUCGAAGCUCGUUCAAGAGGUCGAGGCCGACCGCCAGACUUUCUUUGUUGAGUGAUAUGUCAAAGAGUUGGUGUCGGAUGGAUGGCUCCCUGACUUCUACCGGUAUCAUGGUCUCGGUGCCGUACGUGAGGCUGUAGGAGGUUUCUUGUGUGGUGGAUUGCGGGGUGCAGCGGUAUGCCCACAAGACCUCGGGCAGCUCCUCCGUCCAUCUUUCCUUGGCAGUGCCGAGCCUCUUCCUUAGUUCGUUCAAUAAAACCUUGUUGGCCGCUUCGGCUUGUCCGUUCGUCUGUGGGUGCUCAACGGAGCUUGUGAGGGAUUUGAUGCCGAGGUCGUUGUAGAAAGUCAGAAGGCCUUGGUCGAUGAAUUGCCGGCCGUUAUCGGAGACUAUCGAGUGUGGUAUGCCGAAUCGGCACACUAUGUUUUUCCACACGAAAUUUUGGACGUUUCGGGCAGUGAUUGUGGCUAUUGGUUCGGCCUCUAUCCACUUGGUGAUGUAGUCUACCGCGACCAGCAAGUGCUUCGUUUGGCCUUUGCCUGGUGAGAAUGGGCCGAUGAUGUCCAUCCCCCACAUGGCGAACGGUCAGGGUGAUGUCAUGCUGUGCAGUUCUUCUGGUUUUCGGUGGUGGAGGGGGCCAAACUCUUGGCAUUUUUGGCAUUUCUUGACGUAAUUAGCGCUAUCUCCAUGGACGGUCGGCCAGUAGUACCCCCCACGGAUUAUCUUGACCGCCAUCGUUCGGGCUCCGAAAUGGCUCCCGCACGCUCCCUCGUGGAUUUCUUAUAACACGUAUUGUGAUUGUUCUUUGGUGAGGCACUUUAGGAGUGAUGUUGAGUACCCCCUACGGUAUAAGUCUUGGCCGAUCAUGGUGUAUCGUGCGCACUGCCGUCUGAUGUUCUUUUUUUUCCCCGGUUGGCAUGUUCCGUGCUCCAAGUACUGGGUGAUCGAAGUUCCUCCAGUUGCAUGAAUUUCGCCGCUCGGCGUCUAAGGUCAUCGAGGUUGGUAGCGGGCUGCAUACACUGGCUAUCGGCAAACGGGUCGGGUCUGAGGGCGGUCAGCAUAUGAUGCAUCGCCACCUCGGGACUGAGGUUGCGAAUACUCAUGACGGUUUUGCUGAACCGGUCGAUGAACGUUCUGAGGGACUCUCCCUUCUCCUGACGAAUGCCGACCAGUGCUAUGGAUGUUAGAUGGUGGGGGCGGCUUGUUGCGAACUGGACAUCGAAUUUCGCGAUCAGGGUUUCGAAACAAUCUAUAGUGUGCUGGGAGCUUGGUGAACCAGCUCAGAGCGCUUCCCUUUAGAGAGGUUGGGAAGACUCGGCAAAAGACUGUGUCGUCCGUGGUAUACAGGCUCAUAUGGGUCGUGUAUGCGUCCACGUGCUCAUCUGGGUCAGUCGUUCCAUCGUACCGAUCCCUGUUGAAACCUUUCCAUUUGUCCGGCAGGGGGUGUCCAUAACGCGAUCAGUGAAGGGAUGGCGCCGGUCCGGACCCGCCGGAGCGGUAAUGUUGAUUGUUUUGCUGGGAUGGGACUCUCCAUCCAUUUCCAGAGUGAAGUCGUUUUUCGUGUCUUUCUCGGCCUGGAGGCCGGCACCGGUGGCGUGGGACCUGCCGGCCUGAUUGGUCAUGGCGAGGGACGGCACCCCCUCGACCAGCUUCUUCAUUCGCUUGUUCUCUUCUUGGAGGCUUUUGAUUUCCUCCUCGUUCUUCUUAGCGGCUUCCUCGUGCGCCUUCCUCAUCUGUACUAGCUCCCUCUGAAGGGCCAUCAUCAUUGCUGUUUGGUCUGCUUCGGUCAUGCUUGCCAUGCUGCGGGUUGAUACCAUCUACUGUUGUGGUUUCUGCUGGCUCUCCUCGGCCCCACGGUGGGCGCCAAUUGUUCUCGAACUAGGUUGGGGACUGGGAGAACUACUGUCUUCGGAUGUCACUCGGUUGGUCGUGUCUCACGUUCCUCCUUCAGUCUUCUUCGCCGAACGGCUCCUCAGGUUGGUGGGGUACCUGCAGAUGGCACUCCAACGCUCAAGUCAGUGGGGUAUCGUAUUCGGCUGGUUAGAAUACUGUAGAUAAUGACGUAACUUCUUCCUUGGAAUGCAUGAUAUUUAUAUUACCUUGAUGGGCCCUUGCUGUUGGGCCGGAUUAGGGGGUUGUUUAGCGAUUAGGGUUGGAUUAGGUCGUUUCCUAACCAUGGGUUGACCUUUGCUAAUUGGGUCAACCUUUGACUUGAGCACCUUGUGUUGGUCGACAACACAUGACACGUGGUUGACCUUGUACCUUAAAGUAGGGUCUUAACGCAUGGAUUGACCGGGUCCAUGGACCGGUCGGUCAUCCCGGUACACAAAUAUUUAAAAUUAUUAAAAACUAAAAUAAUAUAUUAUUGUAGUCUAACACCAACAAAUCUAAAAUAAAAAUUUAAGACCAAUUUAUAGAAAAAAAAAUAAAACUCAAGUCA